rnacentral:rRNA from 1 species
UACGUAGGCAGCAAGCGUUGUUCGGAGUUACUGGGCGUAAAGGGUGCGUAGGCGGUUGUUUAAGUUUGGUGUGAAAUCUCCCGGCUCAACUGGGAAGGUGCGCCGAAUACUGAAUGACUCGAGUGCGGGAGAGGAGAGUGGAAUUCCUGGUGUAGCGGUGAAAUGCGUAGAUAUCAGGAGGAACACCGGUGGUGUAGACGGCUCUCUGGACCGUAACUGACGCUGAGGCACGAAAGCGUGGGUAGCAAACAGG